rnacentral:tRNA from 1 species
UGGGGGAUCGUCUAGUGGUAGGACAUCAGCCUUUGGAGCUGAUUACCGUGGUUCGAAUCCACGUCCCCCAGCCA